GACAGGAUAACCGCUGAAGGCAUCUAAGCGGGAAGCCCCCCUCAAAACAAGGUAUCCCUGAGGGCCGUGGUAGACCACCACGUCGAUAGGCCGGAGAUGUAAGCGCAGCAAUGCGUUCAGUUGACCGGUACUAAUCGCCCGAUAGGCUUGAUUUGAUCCAG
rnacentral:rRNA from 1 species